rnacentral:tRNA from 1 species
GGGGGUGUGGCUCAGUUGGGAGAGCGUCGCGUUCGCAACGCGAAGGUCGCGGGUUCGAAUCCCGCCAUCUCCACCA